rnacentral:rRNA from 1 species
UACGGAGGGUGCAAGCGUUGCUCGGAAUCAUUGGGCGUAAAGCGUACGCAGGCUGUUCGUUAAGUCGGGUGUGAAAGCCCGGGGCUCAACCCCGGAACUGCGCCCGAAACUGGCGAGCUUGAGUGCGGGAGAGGGAAGCGGAAUUCCUGGUGUAGAGGUGAAAUUCGUAGAUAUUGGGAAGAACACCGGUGGCGAAGGCGGCGACCUGGUCCGUGACUGACGCUGAGGCGCGAAAGCUAGGGGAGCAAACGGG